GGGUGAGGCUAUGAACUUUCCCUCUCAGUGCAGCAGAGGCCAUUUGGGAUAGGCACACUGCACCACAGAGAAGCAAGUUUCUCUGUCCUACAUUUGGUGAUAGUGGAUGGUAAUGAGAAAAACCUAACAGGGAUAAAUAGGUGUGCAUGGAAAAAGCAGUGAUACUAUUCUAUACCUGGAAAUAUUGGAGUUAUGUCCCUGUCUGGAGAUGGAGCAGCACUGAUGUACUUAGUCAUGUUACUGAGGCUUGUUCUUCCUGAAAUUUAUUUGUGUCUCUAUUGCAUAGGAUUGCCAGGACCUUCAGGCCCACCAGGGAGACCAGGAUCUUCCAUGUCCACCUCAGGUAGGCUCUUUAGAUUCAUUCCUUCCCUUGUGCCCUGAGAAUGUCCUGUUUGUUUUGGUUCCAGUCUGCCCUUAGUUAUGAACAGAUGGAGCCAAAGGAGACUUGUAUCCUUUCCUGCUGGAUGUCAUUAAAAAAUGUUUUUGUUUUAAUUACAGAAGCAUUUGUCUCUGGACCACCUGGACCACCAGGUCCACCAGGCCCCAAGGGAGACCAAGGUGAACCAGGUCCACGAGGAUUCACAGGUAAGGAGGUUUGCAGGGGUUGUUGUUGAGGUGCAGUGUAGUUUGUGUAUAUGACACCUGUUCCUUUUCUGUAUCCCAUGCAGGUGAACCAGGUGAACCUGGCCUUCCAGGAUUCUCUUCCCAUGGUCAGUCUGUACCCUUUUUCUUCAUUUGAAUAUAUUGUCCAUAAGCUGAAGUCAGGGAACUCAGCUUUAGUGGAGCCAGAAUUUUGUCCACAUGGUUUAUACCUUUGAAUUUCUGACUUUUCUUUGCAUUUGGCAGGUGGUACAGUCACCAUGCAGGGACCUCCAGGCCCACCAGGCCCACCAGGACCUAAAGGUGAAGUUAAAAUCUACCUUCUUUCUGUGUUAGUGGCCUCAUACAGCCAUGUCUGGUUAAAACAACCUAGUCUUUAGAGAACUAGAGCUGCUUCCAC
rnacentral:lncRNA from 1 species